rnacentral:misc_RNA from 1 species
GCUUUUCUUUCUCUUUCUCUCUCCUAUUCUUUAUUCCUUUUUUUUGCUUCAACAUACAAUUAUUUGUACGAUCUUCGGACUUUUUUCUUAUCAACCUAAACAUUCCCUUCCUCCAAUUGAUGCUGUCAAAUUAGAUAAUAAUACAACUUUGGAUCUGUUGUGCACCACUUCUUUGUGAUUGAUUGAAUUGAGUUGUAUCUGGAGGGGUUUUAAUGGCUUCUCGGGAGGAGAUCCUCGCCAACUUUCAAGCCUGCACAGGGAUUGAGAAUGUGGAAUUGGCUAUUUCACAGUUGGAAGAUGCGGGAUGGAGUUUUGUUGACGCUGUGAACAAAGUAAUUCCAGGCAGUGAUCCCUCUGCUCCACCUACUCCCAUUGAUAUAUCUUCCAGUCCAGAAAUUAUAUCUCCUCUCUCCUCCAAUAGACACAGCUUCGUGAGUCUCGCAGAUGACUUCGUUCCAGGUACUUCCUCUACGCGUUUAUUAGAAUUUGAUGUUCAGCACGGAGAGAAAAUGAUACAUCUUAAAGUGCAUGACAAUGAAAGUAUUCUAACCCUUAAAACGCUAUUGCACAAAGAGACUGGCUUCCCUGCCUGCAAGCAGGAUCUACAUGGCUUUAGAGGAGUCUCACAUUCCUUUAUGUCAAGGGACUCCACUAAACUAUCCGAGUUAAACUUACCGAAACAAAACGUCCUUCAUUUAAUUACUCCUGAUCCUUCUCCUCCUAGUACGUCUGAGUCUACUAGCAGUAGUAUGGCUGAAAAUGAGAGUAAUGGCGAGUCAAAUAAUUUCAAGCUUACUAUAGAAGAUCAAACGAAUGACAAAGUGUAUAAUCUAAACUUUUCUCCCACGCUUUCUGUCCUCUCCGUAAAAUUGGGUACAUCAAAUGUUACAAAUAUUCCUGUUUCAAAGCAAGUUUGGACUGGAUGGCCAGAAGAUGUCAAUGAUGAUCUCAGUUUAGCACAAUUAGGCAUUCCUCAAGAGCAUUAUUUGACCCUUAAAAGAUUGGAACCCAAAUUGCCAUCUACUUCUUCUGAAGGGACUUCCUCAACUAAUCCUGAGCCGAGGAGUGUAAGUUUUAUGCCUGAAAUCGAUGCUAACAUGAGUGAUGUAGACAGUGAUGAAGAGUAUGAGGAUGCUCCUGAAAUGGAGGAUGAGUAUUUCUUUUCAAAUAACGAAGGGAGCAGUUCUACCAGUAAAGGUAGAAUCUGCCCCUUGAUUCCAGAUGACUAUGGAGAUGAAAGUUUAGCUGGUGUUAAAUUUGCGGAAGAAUUCGCUAUUCGGUAUGGGUCUCCACAUCCAAACUUUUUCCCUGGAAAUUUAACAGAUGCCAUUAGAGAGUCUUGUAUGCAGCCUGCCAAAGAUAGAAAAAUGCUCGCAGUCUAUUUACAUCAUGAUUCUUCUGUUCUUACUAACGUAUUUUGUACCCAGGCCUUAUGUGCUGAAUCCAUAGUUCAAUUUCUCAACGCAAACUUUAUUAGUUUCGGUUGGGAUUUGACAAAUAUCUCAAAUCGCGUCAGGGCUACUGAAAUGAUCACUCGUGAAUUUGGAAGUGUUGCUUCUUUGACAGUAAGGAAUCUUGAUGUUGAACGCUUUCCUAUUUUAGCUUUAGUGUAUCGGUUAAGGGGAACGACAGAAAUUUUUAAAAUGAUUCAUGGGAAAGUAACUUUGGAUGAACUGAUGUCAGAAUUAUUGUCUGCCCAUGAAACUUAUACUGCUCAACUACGAAUAGAGGUUCGGGAAGAUGAAGAACGUGCUGAACGGGAUGCAGUUAAAAGGGAACAAGAUCUAGCAUUUGAAAUGUCCUUACAGGCUGAUAGAGAAAAACAAGCGCAAAGAGAGAGGGAGGAAGAGGAGCGGAAAGAACAAGAACUACUAGAAGAAGCACUAAGAAAGUCUGAGGAGGAAGCUCGUCUUCUUGAAGAAAGGGAAAAAGGAAAGAAGCGACAGUUAAUUGAAGGGAGACUUCCGGACGAACCGACUCCCGACUCAAAAGAUGCUUCAAGACUACGAAUACGUGCCCCUGAUGGAACUAGCUUGGAAAGAAGAUUCAAUCAAAAUUCUUCAAUAAGAAUUGUUCUAGAUUACUUAUUCACAAAGGGAUAUUCGGAGGAGGAAUUCAAGGUUCUCACUAGCUUUCCACGCAGAGAUUUAACAUCCAUUGAUUCGAGUAAAACGUUGAAAGAAUUAAAUUUAUAUCCUCAAGAAACUCUGACUCUGGAAGAGAAAUGAAGCAUACAUGUGAUAGAUAAUCAACAAAUAAAACACUUAAUUCCUUAUUAUGUGAUAAUGGCUUCAUUUUUACAAGUCUAGGAUUUAAAAUUGUCUCAUUCAGACACCAAUUUUUUUACAAAAAUAUAAAUUGGAUAGAGGGGAAUAGAUACGGGUUGAUAGAUGUACGAGUCACAGUCAUCCAUCACCAACCCUCACUCAAUAUAUUAUGUAAUUGAUAGGAUUUUUGAAUGACUGCUACAAUAAUCUAAUAGUGCUAUUAUUACUUUAAAAUAUACAAUGAGAAUAUCUUCAUCAAAA